CCAGCCCGCUCAAGAAACUCAAAUAAGUUGGACGGGGGCCGCACAAGCGGUGGAGCAUGUGGUUUAAUUCGAUGAUACGCGAGGAACCUUACCUGGGCUACAAAUGUAUGUUGACGUAUUCUAGAAAGGGAUACUUCUUCGGACAAUAUACAAGGUGCUGCAUGGUUGUCGUCAGCUCGUGCCGUGAGGUGUCGGGUUAAGUCCCAUAACGAGCGCAACCCCUAUCAUUAGUUGCCAUCAGGUCAAGCUGGGGACUCUAAUGAAACUGCCUACGCAAGUAGUGAGGAAGGUGGGGAUGACGUCAAAUCAGCACGGCCCUUACGUCCAGGGCUACACACGUGCUACAAUGGCCGGUACAAAGGGCAGCUACCUGGUGACAGGAUGCAAAUCUCCAAAGUCGGUCUCAGUUCGGAUCGGAGUCUGCAACCCGACUCCGUGAAGUUGGAUUCGCUAGUAAUCGCGCAUCAGCCAUGGCGCGGUGAAUACGUUCCCGGGCCUU
rnacentral:rRNA from 1 species